rnacentral:rRNA from 1 species
AAUGAACGUUGGCGGCGUGGAUUAGGCAUGCAAGUCGGUCGCCCCGCAAGGGGCGAGGCGCAAGGGUGAGUAGUGCGGAGGCAACCAACCCCACGAUUGGGUAUAGCCGCGGGAAACCGCGGGUAAUCCCCAGCGACGUUUCGAGGCGGCAUCGCCUUGGGACCAUAGGUGUGAUUCCGGCGUGGGACGGGCCUCCGUGGUAUCAGGUAGUUGGCGGGGUAGUGGCCCACCAAGCCGAUGACGCCUACCGGGCGUGCGAGCGUGGCCCGGCACACUGGGACUGAGACACUGCCCAGACUCCUACGGGAGGCUGCAGUCGAGAAUCUUCGGCAAUGGGCGCCAGCCUGACCGAGCGACGCCGCGUGGAGGACGAAGGCCUUCGGGUUGUAAACUCCUGUCGAGGGGGAACAAGAGCGGUGCAGAGCCGCUUUGAGUGAACCCUGGAGGAAGCACGGGCUAAGUUCGUGCCAGCCGCCGCGGUAACAC